rnacentral:rRNA from 1 species
GACGAACGCUGGCGGCGUGCCUAAUACAUGCAAGUUGAGCGCUGAAGGUUGGUACUUGUACCGACUGGAUGAGCAGCGAACGGGUGAGUAACGCGUGGGGAAUCUGCCUUUGAGCGGGGGACAACAUUUGGAAACGAAUGCUAAUACCGCAUAAAAACUUUAAACACAAGUUUUAAGUUUGAAGGAUGCAAUUGCAUCACUCAAAGAUGAUCCCGCGUUGUAUUAGCUAGUUGGUGAGGUAAAGGCUCACCAAGGCGAUGAUACAUAGCCGACCUGAGAGGGUGAUCGGCCACAUUGGGACUGAGACACGGCCCAAACUCCUACGGGAGGCAGCAGUAGGGAAUCUUCGGCAAUGGACGAAAGUCUGACCGAGCAACGCCGCGUGAGUGAAGAAGGUUUUCGGAUCGUAAAACUCUGUUGGUAGAGAGGAACGUUGGUGAGAGUGGAAAGCUCAUCAAGUGACGGUAACUACCCAGAAAGGGACGGCUAACUACGUG